rnacentral:rRNA from 1 species
ACGCUGGCGGCGUGCCUAACACAUGCAAGUCGAACGGAGAUUACGGACGGAAGUUUUCGGAUGGAAGACUGUAAUUCUUAGUGGCGGACGGGUGAGUAACGCGUGGGCAACCUGCCCUAUACAGGGGGAUAGCAGCUGGAAACGGCUGGUAAGACCGCAUAAGUCGGCGAAACCGCAUGGUUUUGCCGGGAAAUGAGCAAUCAGGUAUAGGAUGGGCCCGCGUCCGAUUAGCCAGUUGGCAGGGUAAAAGCCUACCAAAGCAACGAUCGGUAGCCGGACUGAGAGGUCGGACGGCCACAUUGGGACUGAGACACGGCCCAAACUCCUACGGGAGGCAGCAGUGGGGGAUAUUGCACAAUGGAGGAAACUCUGAUGCAGCGACGCCGCGUGAGUGAAGAAGUAUUUCGGUAUGUAAAGCUCUAUCAGCAGGGAAGAUGAUGACGGUACCUGACUAAGAAGCCCCGGCUAACUACGUGCCAGCAGCCGCGGUAAUACGUAGGGGGCAAGCGUUAUCCGGAUUUACUGGGUGUAAAGGGAGCGCAGGCGGUUUGGCAAGUUGAGAGUGGAAGCAGGGGGCUCAACCCCCUGACUGCUCCCAAAACUGUUAAACUUGAGUAUGGGAGAGGCAGGCGGAAUUCCUAGUGUAGCGGUGAGAUGCUUAGAUAUUAGGAAGAACACCGGUGGCGAAGGCGGCCUGCUGGACCAAAACUGACGCUGAGGCUCGAAAGCGUGGGUAGCAAACAGGAUUAGAUACCCUUGUAGUCCACGCUGUAAACGAUGAAUACUAGGUGCUGGGAGGCAUAAGCCUUUCGGUGCCGUCGCAAACGCAUUAAGUAUUCCACCUGGGGAGUACGUUCGCAAGAAUGAAACUCAAAGGAAUUGACGGGGACCCGCACAAGCGGUGGAGCAU